rnacentral:tRNA from 1 species
GGUGGCUCAGUGGUAGAGUGUUUGCCUCCCAUGCAUUAGACCCUGAGUUCAAUUCCUCAGUACCA